rnacentral:rRNA from 1 species
AUUGAACGCUGGCGGCAGGCCUAACACAUGCAAGUCGAGCGGAUGAAGGGAGCUUGCUCCUGGAUUCAGCGGCGGACGGGUGAGUAAUGCCUAGGAAUCUGCCUGGUAGUGGGGGAUAACGUCCGGAAACGGGCGCUAAUACCGCAUACGUCCUGAGGGAGAAAGUGGGGGAUCUUCGGACCUCACGCUAUCAGAUGAGCCUAGGUCGGAUUAGCUAGUUGGUGGGGUAAAGGCCUACCAAGGCGACGAUCCGUAACUGGUCUGAGAGGAUGAUCAGUCACACUGGAACUGAGACACGGUCCAGACUCCUACGGGAGGCAGCAGCGGGGAAUAUUGGACAAUGGGCGAAAGCCUGAUCCAGCCAUGCCGCGUGUGUGAAGAAGGUCUUCGGAUUGUAAAGCACUUUAAGUUGGGAGGAAGGGCAGUAAGUUAAUACCGUGCUGUUUUGACGUUACCAACAGAAUAAGCACCGGCUAACUUCGUG